CUCUACCUGCACUCACACAGAUCUGCAUGACUUGUCUUCAUUCUUCCAGGGCUUUUGAAAAAUCUGACAUAUGUAUGUUAGCAAAGCAGCCUUAACAUUUAUUAGUAAAAGAGAUUUCUAUAAGGGGGCUUAGAUUUACUUUUCCUCUGAAAAGCAUCUUUAGAAAUAUCCUGCAAUCUGCAGGAAGCCAAGGCUGAGCAGAAGAGAAAAGCACUUCCAAGUCUUCCAAACGAGACAUGAAUUACAGCCAUCUUGACUGUUUGUUGACCUAAACUGGACCUGAACCUCUUGAUCCAGGCUGAGCAAUAGCCAGAACUGAAUCCAAGCUCAAGCAGAAGGGAUGUUGCUGACUGAAUCCCAAAAUGCUACAGUAGAAUUGGAAACCAGCAGGAGCACAACUGUCCCGCAGAGUUUAGGAAAUUGUACGUUUUUUCCUCUUCCAAAACCUGGAACUCGUGCAGUUUUACAGCUUCUGUAGGAAAGGACCUUGUGAUAGAUCCCAUCUGUGCUGUAAGAAGUAUUGUUUGGGGUGGAGAGCAUCACUGUUCAGAGCAAUUGAUCCCUUGGGCAUCUUCAUGGGUGCCAGAUUUAGAGCCACUGACAAUGUCUGCUGUUUUAAAUGUCAGGCACCCACUGCAUGUACAGCUGAGUGUGGACCUGGAGGAAAGUGAUUCUGCACAAACUGAUGAGCUUUGUGACCCACCUCUUUGAACAAUCCCCUUACGUGUGUUUCAGCCCAACGUGUGUGGAAGAAGUGUUCCACAAAGUUUUCCUGGAGAGUAUCAGGGCAGGGGAUAAGGAGACAACUGGAAUUGCUGAGGAAGAGAGCGAGAAUUGAAACUGUAAUGUUUUCGAGCGUGCGUGGAGAGCAGCAGAGGAAGAAGAGCUACCUAUUAAAUGCAGGAAGAGAGGUAGGGCAUGAGAAAUUAUUACUCCUCAUUGGUAAUUGCUUAGAAUCUGUAUCUCAAGGAGCUGAUGAACUGUUUGAUUGUUAUUUGCCUUAGUGCCACAACAUACACAAGCAGAUUGUAAACUGUUUCCUACUUGUUUUGGUUUCAUGGUAGGCUCAGCUGUCCAAGGUUGGGUUUGUUAUACUGAUGUGAACAGGCAUCAGCCCUUCUGCAAUCUGGGAUGCGUCCAUGCUCUGUGGCUACCCAGGGUGCCCUAUAUUGCAGGGAAGCCAGAUGUGCAGCCAGCAGCUGUCCCUGCUGGGCAGCAUGGCUGAGCCAGGAUGAGGUCCCACUACCAUGGGCUGCUUUCUUCCUGUGACCCGUAGCCCUGCCUCACUGGUGCCAUACUCCUCACCAGCCUGCUGUGUAGAAGCCAGGAGAAUUACACUAAAAAGAAUUUAUGGGAUGGGAGAGGUAGAUCAAACCCAGUUUCUAUAGCUACAGGUGCUGAUGCACUGCAAAUGUGAGUUGCACUGCUUCUCUAGCAUUGUCUGAUCACUGCCAAGUCUGGGCCAAGAAAUGCCUUGCUCUCCCCUGGGCACAAAGGCUAAGCCUUUGAAAUGCAUCUUUCCUCUGUUCCAAACUAGGUGCUCUUAUAAAGUAACUUCUAUCUGGUCAGUUUAACCUGCUUAGAGGAGCAGUAUUACUGAAUGCAGAAGAGAUGCUGUCAGGGAUCAGGCUGUUUGCUAAGCUGAUAUCCUGGCUCCAGUGGAGGACUGUCCUUCUGAGGCAACUUUCAUAACCAGUUCUUCAGUAUUACUCCAAAAGCCUUCCAAGACUUUGCAAGCAGUUG